rnacentral:rRNA from 1 species
UACGGAGGGAGCUAGCGUUGUUCGGAAUUACUGGGCGUAAAGCGCACGUAGGCGGCUUUGUAAGUCAGAGGUGAAAGCCUGGAGCUCAACUCCAGAACUGCCUUUGAGACUGCAUCGCUUGAAUCCGGGAGAGGUGAGUGGAAUUCCGAGUGUAGAGGUGAAAUUCGUAGAUAUUCGGAAGAACACCAGUGGCGAAGGCGGCUCACUGGACCGGUAUUGACGCUGAGGUGGCGAAAAGCGUGGGGAGCAAACAGG